rnacentral:lncRNA from 1 species
AUAUAUUGACUGAAAAUUCAUCAAAAUGAUUGUGUAGUAAAUUUUCAGCAGCUCUGUAGCAAUUGAGUCUUUGAUUAUAAGGAAUGAAUAAUACCUGUGAACUGAAAGUGAAAAAAUCAUAAUUUCCUGAAGUUAAAAAUUCUAAUAUGAACAAAAACUAAGUUUGAAAUUGAUGAGGGUUGAAUUUUCAUCAAAUUAAUUAAACUUGCACACAUUAGUCGUCAUUUCUCAUUGAUUAUGUGAUUGCCAUUGUAAUAUAUCAAAUGAAAGCCAAAAUAAGAGAUAGCAAAAUGGAUAAAAAUAAUGUGCAAAAUAUGUAUGCAGUGCUAGCUGGCAAGAUGUCUUAAGAUUCAUGGUCUUGUGAUGUAAAAAAAUAUUAUGGAAAUCAAAUAUUCGAGUUGUUUUGUAUUUCUAGAUACUUAUUUAAUAAUAUUAUAACCCCUAAAUCUGUUUAAUACCUUUACAUAAUCAAUAAUCCAUAUUACUUAUAAGAGCAAAGACAUGAAAUUUUUGAACUAAUUAUUUAUAAAUUAAUUUAUUUUCAGAGUCCUGGGUCCUUAGGAUGGACACCACUGUUUAAAUGAACAAAGUUAGCCUGUGAUGUAAAUAUCGACAUUCCGUCCUGUCCUAAAAUUUUACAAACAUUUAUUGAAUUAUUUAUUUACACAUGUAUGUAUAUUGUUUUAAUAAAUCAUUUAUAAAAGAAAAAUAUUUGACUACCAUUUAACUUGAAGAGAUUAUUUGAAGAGAGUUAUUUUGUUGUCAUUUGCAGUCUUAGCUCCAUCCGUCUGAGUAUAUAG